rnacentral:rRNA from 1 species
AGUGAACGCUGGCGGUAGGCCUAACACAUGCAAGUCGAACGGCAGCACAGUAAGAGCUUGCUCUUACGGGUGGCGAGUGGCGGGCGGGUGAGGAAUACAUCGGAAUCUACUUUUUCGUGGGGGAUAACGUAGGGAAACUUACGCUAAUACCGCAUACGACCUACGGGUGAAAGCAGGGGAUCUUCGGACCUUGCGCGAUUGAAUGAGCCGAUGUCGGAUUAGCUAGUUGGCGGGGUAAAGGCCCACCAAGGCGACGAUCCGUAGCUGGUCUGAGAGGAUGAUCAGCCACACUGGAACUGAGACACGGUCCAGACUCCUACGGGAGGCAGCAGUGGGGAAUAUUGGACAAUGGGCGCAAGCCUGAUCCAGCCAAACCGCGUGGGUGAAGAAGGCCUUCGGGUUGUAAAGCCCUUUUGUUGGGAAAGAAAAGCAGCAGGUUAAUACCCCGCUGUUCUGACGGUACCCAAAGAAUAAGCACCGGCUAACUUCGUG